CCCUUAACUAUUAAAAGUUUCGUUUUGGUCCCUUAACUUAUUUUUUGGUCUCGUUUUGGUCCCUUAACUUAUUUUUUGGUUUCAUUUUGGUCCCUGAACUCUAAUACAUUCAUCCUAACAUAAAGGACCAAAGUGGUUGACGGAGGAAGAGUUAAGGGACCAAAACGAAACCAAAAAGUAAGUUAAAGGACCAAAACGAAACUUUUAACAGUUAAGGGACCAAAACGAAACCAAAAAGUAAGUUAAGUGACCAAAACGAAACUUUUAAUAGUUAAGGGA
rfam:Medicago truncatula strain A17 chromosome 6, whole genome shotgun sequence.